rnacentral:rRNA from 1 species
UACAGAGGUCCCAAGCGUUGUUCGGAUUCACUGGGCGUAAAGGGUGCGUAGGUGGCGGGGUAAGUCAGGUGUGAAAUCUCGGGGCUCAACCCCGAAACUGCACUUGAUACUGCCUUGCUCGAGUACUGGAGAGGAGAUUGGAAUUUACGGUGUAGCAGUGAAAUGCGUAGAUAUCGUAAGGAAGACCAGUGGCGAAGGCGAAUCUCUGGACAGUUACUGACACUGAGGCACGAAGGCCAGGGGAGCAAACGGG